GAUGAACGCUGGCGGCGUGCUUAACACAUGCAAGUCGAACGAGAAAUGGAGACGGAAACCUUCGGGCGGAAGGCUUCAUUUCGAGUGGCGGACGGGUGAGUAACGCUUGGGUAACCUGCCUCAUACAGGGGGAUAACAGUUGGAAACGACUGUUAAUACCGCAUAAGACCACAGCACCGCAUGGUGCGGGGGUAAAAACUCCGGUGGUAUGAGAUGGACCCGCGUUCGAUUAGCCAGUUGGCGGGGUAACGGCCCACCAAAGCGACGAUCGAUAGCCGAUCUGAGAGGAUGACCGGCCACAUUGGGACUGAGACACGGCCCAAACUCCUACGGGAGGCAGCAGUGGGGAAUAUUGCACAAUGGGGAAACCCUGAUGCAGCGACGCCGCGUGAGUGAAGAAGUACUUCGGUAUGUAAAGCUCUAUCAGCAGGGAAGAAAAUGACGGUACCUGAGUAAGAAGCCCCGGCUAACUACGUG
rnacentral:rRNA from 1 species